rnacentral:rRNA from 1 species
UUUUAAAAUGAGAGUUUGAUCCUGGCUCAGGACGAACGCUGGCGGCGUGCCUAAUACAUGCA